rnacentral:rRNA from 1 species
AGAGUUCGAUCCUGGCUCAGGAUGAACGCUGGCGGCGCGCCUAACACAUGCAAGUCGAACGGCACCUGCCCUCGGGCAGAAGCGAGUGGCGAACGGCUGAGUAACACGUGGAGAACCUGCCCCCUCCCCCGGGAUAGCCGCCCGAAAGGACGGGUAAUACCGGAUACCCCGGGGUGCCGCAUGGCACCCCGGCUAAAGCCCCGACGGGAGGGGAUGGCUCCGCGGCCCAUCAGGUAGACGGCGGGGUGACGGCCCACCGUGCCGACAACGGGUAGCCGGGUUGAGAGACCGACCGGCCAGAUUGGGACUGAGACACGGCCCAGACUCCUACGGGAGGCAGCAGUGGGGAAUCUUGCGCAAUGGGGGGAACCCUGACGCAGCGACGCCGCGUGCGGGACGGAGGCCUUCGGGUCGUAAACCGCUUUCAGCAGGGAAGAGUCAAGACUGUACCUGCAGAAGAAGCCCCGGCUAACUACGUGCCAGCAGCCGCGGUAAUACGUAGGGGGCGAGCGUUAUCCGGAUUCAUUGGGCGUAAAGCGCGCGUAGGCGGCCCGGCAGGCCGGGGGUCGAAGCGGGGGGCUCAACCCCCCGAAGCCCCCGGAACCUCCGCGGCUUGGGUCCGGUAGGGGAGGGUGGAACACCCGGUGUAGCGGUGGAAUGCGCAGAUAUCGGGUGGAACACCGGUGGCGAAGGCGGCCCUCUGGGCCGAGACCGACGCUGAGGCGCGAAAGCUGGGGGAGCGAACAGGAUUAGAUACCCUGGUAGUCCCAGCCGUAAACGAUGGACGCUAGGUGUGGGGGGACGAUCCCCCCGUGCCGCAGCCAACGCAUUAAGCGUCCCGCCUGGGGAGUACGGCCGCAAGGCUAAAACUCAAAGGAA